rnacentral:rRNA from 1 species
GACGAACGCUGGCGGCGUGCUUAACACAUGCAAGUCGAACGGAAAGGCCCUGCUUCUGUGGUGUGUUCGAGUGGCGAACGUGUGAGUAACGCGUGAGACACCUGCCUGUGACUCUGGGAUAACUUCAGGAAACUGGGGCUAAUACCGCUUAUUAGCUCCUGCUGCAUGGUGUGGUUCGGAAAGUUUCGGCGGUUGGGGUUGGACUUGCGGCUUAUCACGCUGCCUGUGGGGUAGUGGCUGACCAAGUCGCUGACGGGUAGCCGGCCUGAGAGGGUGACCGGCCACAUUGGGAAUGAGAUACGGCCAAGACUCCUACGGGAGGCAGCAGUGGGGAAUAGUGCACAGUGGGCGGAAGCCUGAUGGAGCAACGCCGCGUGCGGGAUGACGGCCUUCGGGUUGUAACCCGCUUUCGCCUGUGACGAAGCGUGAGUGACGGUAAUGGGUAAAGAAGCACCGGCUAACUACGUG